rnacentral:lncRNA from 1 species
CCUAUAGUCCCUAAAAUUUGUUAUUUCGCCAAUUUCUAGUUUCCUUUUUUCUGCGCUUGCUUUCCUUAUUUUAGUAUCUAGUCAAAUUUUUCCAUUCUAAAUUACAUUAGAAAAAAACUCUUGAUUAUUGAUACAUUCUAUCAAUUUCAAUUGGUCACUAACGACAGAGUUACAUCACACCCCCUCCCAUUUUUCAAUACAAAUUUGUAUUGAAAAAUAAAGAAAAGAGGGUAAAGUGAAUUCUUCUUAAUAUACAUACUAGGAUUAGGACUAUCAGACAAGUAAUUCCUGACACCUGGUCGAAAUCGAAAGUCUAAAGAGAGGCAAAAAGGCUUUUGAUAAUUUUUUUGGUUCUUU